rnacentral:rRNA from 1 species
GAGUUUGAUCGUGGCUCAGGACGAACGCUGGCGGCGCGCCUAACACAUGCAAGUCGAACGGAACCCUUUCUGAGAAAUUUUCGGAUGGAUCGGGAAGGUGUUUAGUGGCGGACGGGUGAGUAACACGUGAGCAACCUGCCUUUCAGAGGGGGAUAACAGUUGGAAACGACUGCUAAUACCGCAUAAUAUACCGAGACGGCAUCGUCAUGGUAUCAAAGGAGCAAUCCGCUGAAAGAUGGGCUCGCGGCCGAUUAGCUAGUUGGUGAGGUAAAGGCCCACCAAGGCGACGAUCGGUAGCCGGACUGAGAGGUUGAACGGCCACAUUGGGACUGAGACACGGGCCCAGACUCCUACGGGAGGCAGCAGUGGGGGAUAUUGCACAAUGGGCGAAAGCCUGAUGCAGCGACGCCGCGUGAGGGAAGACGGUUUUCGGAUUGU